AUGACUUUGAUCUGCGUCCUCAUCUGGACUCUCCUCUGCUGCUGCUUCACAGAGUCCAGAGGACAAUACACAGUGACUCAGCCUGGAUCAGUGAGCUCUGCUGUGGGAGGAUCUGUGACCAUCAAGUGUAGGACCAGUCAUAGGGUAGAUGAUGGAGUGGACCUUUCUUGGUACCAACAGAAAGAUGGAGGAGUUCCCAAACUUCUCAUUUAUCAUGUUAGCAGUCGGGCAUCAGGGAUUCCAGCUCGUUUUACAGGCAGUGGAUCAAACUCUGACUUCACUCUGACCAUCAGUGGAGUCCAGGCUGAAGAUGCAGCAGUUUAUUACUGUAAGAGUUGGCACUAUCCUAACAGUCAGUGGGUGUUCACACAGUGA